rnacentral:rRNA from 1 species
GACGAACGCUGGCGGCGUGCUUAACACAUGCAAGUCGAACGGAAAAGCCCCUUUGGGGGUACUCGAGUGGCGAACGGGUGCGUAACACGUGAGUAACCUGCCCUUGACUUCGGGAUAACUUCAGGAAACUGGGGCUAAUACCGGAUAGGAAUCCUUGCUGCAUGGUGGGGGUUGGAAAGCUUCGGCGGUUUUGGAUGGACUCGCGGCUUAUCAGCUUGUUGGUGGGGUGGUGGCUUACCAAGGCUUUGACGGGUAGCCGGCCUGAGAGGGCGACCGGCCACAUUGGGACUGAGAUACGGCCCAGACUCCUACGGGAGGCAGCAGUGGGGAAUAUUGCACAAUGGGCGGAAGCCUGAUGCAGCAACGCCGCGUGCGGGAUGACGGCCUUCGGGUUGUAAACCGCUUUCAGCAGGGGCGAAGCUUGUGGUGACGGUACCUGCAGAAGAAGCACCGGCUAACUACGUG